AUCGAGGGAGUAGCUAACGGACUUGUCCGUGAUAGUGUCGUCAAUCCGAAAAUCGUUUCCGGCACUAUCUUAAAUAGCGAGACUUGUUUUAAUAAAACAGGUCUCUUU
rnacentral:ncRNA from 1 species